UAGGGAAUCUUCGGCAAUGGACGAAAGUCUGACCGAGCAACGCCGCGUGAGUGAAGAAGGUUUUCGGAUCGUAAAACUCUGUUGUUAGAGAAGAACAAGGACGUUAGUAACUGAACGUCCCCUGACGGUAUCUAACCAGAAAGCCACGGCUAACUACGUGCCAGCAGCCGCGGUAAUACGUAGGUGGCAAGCGUUGUCCGGAUUUAUUGGGCGUAAAGCGAGCGCAGGCGGUUUCUUAAGUCUGAUGUGAAAGCCCCCGGCUCAACCGGGGAGGGUCAUUGGAAGCUGGGAGACAUGAGUGCAGAAGAGGAGAGUGGAAUUCCAUUUGUAGCGGUGAAAUGCGUAGAUAUAUGGAGGAACACCAGUGGCGAAAGAGGCUCUCUAGUCUGUAACUGACGAUGAGGCUCGAAAGCGUGGGGAGCAAACAGG
rnacentral:rRNA from 1 species